GUGCUGUUGCUGGACGAGCCGGCAGCGGGGGUUCCGCAUGACGAGGCGCCGAAGAUUCUCGAUGCGAUCAAUCGCCUGCCAUCCGAUAUCGCCGUUCUGAUGAUCGAACAUGACAUGGACCUGGUGUUCAGGUUUGCGAAGCGGGUGCUCGUGCUCGCCAAUGGCAGCCUCAUUUUCGAGGGCAGCCCGGAAGACGUCACCAAGGACGACGAGGUUCGCCGCGCCUAUCUGGGGAGCUAUGC
rnacentral:misc_RNA from 1 species